GCGAGAGCCAGGCCCAGUCACAGCCAGCUAACGGAGUCACAGUGCCUAGAACAGUAAGAUUCACUCAGAGGCUGCAUGGGAGCAGAAUGACCAGAGAGCAGCCUAGGCAAAGUGAAGUCUUGGGGUAGAGGCCAGAGUACGAAGAGCCGAGGGCUGAUUUGAGAGUUGGCAGGGGCAGGAGCAGGGGAACAGAGUGAAGAAGGAAGCCCAAAAGAACCAUUAGGAUGCACUUCAGUCCAGUGAGAAGGGCCUUUCUGGGCUCAGAAUGAGCAGGUCUGGCCCAGACCCAGACCCUCUCGGAGUCAACCUGGUUGGUUGCCCUGUCUGCUUGGCUCUUGCAGAUACUCAGGUAUAACAUAUGAACCCGACUGUGGUGAAGUCUGGCAUGCACAGCGUGUCUUGUGUGAGACACAGAGCUGGAUACUGGAUACUGUUUAAGAGAUGAAGGAAGAAACGUAAUUUUGGCAAUGAAGGAGUUGCUACACAGAUGAACUGAGUUAAGUUCUAUUGCUGAAAUAUGUCCUGGAACAUGGCCAGAAGCUCGGCUUCCAGCUCUUCCGUGCUCCCCCAUCAAGAGACCCUCCCGGAGCUGCUCACCACUCGGUGUGGACUCCGAGUUGUAGGACUGGAGCCAAAGCAUGAACCGCUUUUUUGAAAGCUUGCCGUCAUUCAAGGCUUGGAAUGAAGCCUUCUUUUCUCCUUAUGAAUCCUUCUCUGAUCUUCGCAGCUAGAGUCCUAGACCACAAGAGACCUCAGUGUACCUCACCUAUGGCUCUACUCCAUUUGCUUCCCACUGUAGUCUUCACAGAACAUUUUAAGUUGCAUUUUUGGACCCCAUUGUGUUAUUUUUUAAGGGAAGUAGGUGGCUCAUCCUUUUUAUUUCAUGAUCUCUAUUUUUUUGUUGUUUGUUUCUAUGUCUUAUUUUAUUUUAUUCUAAGAUUUGAAGACAUUAAGGAAAAGUCAAAAAUGGAGAGGAGGAAGAACUAGUAAUGACAGAGUCCGAGGGAGGAAGAGCAGGAACAUGAUGACAUCAAAUGUGCGUUCAGGAGAAGAACGAGGUUAUUCCUCAUGUUAGAAAAGAGUCCUGUUAACUAAAGUCUGAUUCUGUCUCUUGGCUUCAUGGAUCCAAGUACGUUAAUUAUCUGCACUAAACCUCAACUUAUUUCAUG
rnacentral:lncRNA from 1 species